GUAGAGGAGAGAUAAGGAAGAGUGUUCAGCAUUUAUUGAGCAACAGGUUCAUUUAAUCUCCCGCAGUUUGGAGAAAACACUGUCCUGGACAUGAAGGUCGCUGCUGUCUUUAUUCUCACCUGCUUGCUCGCUCUUUCCGCAGGGGCACAUGUAGAAGAAAAGAGAGGUGUUUUGCCACUUUGCAUCACCACGAGGUUGUGUUUCAUGAACCCAUGUCUGGCAGCUCUUUGUGCUCCAAAUACAGUUUGCUUAAACUGCAACUGCCAAGCCACUUGCGUGCCCGUGACUGAGAGUGAGGUCACUCCAUGAAGCAAACAGAAAACCUCUGUCAAUGCCAACGUAAAAUUUUGUUUCACGGGUCGAAGCAAAACAAAAGUUUUGAAAAUAAAAGAAGUGUGGUUGCUUGAUUCUU